GACGAACGCUGGCGGCAUGCUUAACACAUGCAAGUCGAACGUGAUUUUUGUGGAAAUUCUUUCGGGAAUGGAAAUGAAAUGAAAGUGGCGAACGGGUGAGUAACACGUGAGCAACCUACCUUACACAGGGGGAUAGCCGUUGGAAACGACGAUUAAUACCGCAUGAGACCACAGAAUCGCAUGAUAUAGGGGUCAAAGAUUUAUCGGUGUAAGAAGGGCUCGCGUCUGAUUAGCUAGUUGGAAGGGUAAAGGCCUACCAAGGCGACGAUCAGUAGCCGGUCUGAGAGGAUGAACGGCCACAUUGGAACUGAGACACGGUCCAAACUCCUACGGGAGGCAGCAGUGGGGAAUAUUGCACAAUGGGGGGAACCCUGAUGCAGCGACGCCGCGUGAGCGAAGAAGGUUUUCGAAUCGUAAAGCUCUGUCCUAUGAGAAGAUAAUGACGGUAUCAUAGGAGGAAGCCCCGGCUAAAUACGUGCCAGCAGCCGCGGUAAUACGUAUGGGGCGAGCGUUGUCCGGAAUUAUUGGGCGUAAAGGGUACGUAGGCGGUUUUUUAAGUCAGGUGUGAAAGCGUGAGGCUUAACCUCAUUAAGCACUUGAAACUGGAAGACUUGAGUGAAGGAGAGGAAAGUGGAAUUCCUAGUGUAGCGGUGAAAUGCGUAGAUAUUAGGAGGAAUACCGGUGGCGAAGGCGACUUUCUGGACUUUUACUGACGCUCAGGUACGAAAGCGUGGGGAGCAAACAGG
rnacentral:rRNA from 1 species